GGCGAACGCUGGCGGCGUGCCUAAUACAUGCAAGUUGAGCGCUGAAGGUUGGUACUUGUACCAACUGGAUGAGCAGCGAACGGGUGAGUAACGCGUGGGGAAUCUGCCUUUGAGCGGGGGACAACAUUUGGAAACGAAUGCUAAUACCGCAUAAAAACUUUAAACACAAGUUUUAAGUUUGAAAGAUGCAAUUGCAUCACUCAAAGAUGAUCCCGCGUUGUAUUAGCUAGUUGGUGAGGUAAAGGCUCACCAAGGCGAUGAUACAUAGCCGACCUGAGAGGGUGAUCGGCCGCAUUGGGACUGAGACACGGCCCAAACUCCUACGGGAGGCAGCAGUAGGGAAACUUCGGCAAUGGACGAAAGUCUGACCGAGCAACGCCGCGUGAGUGAAGAAGGUUUUCGGAUCGUAAAACUCUGUUGGUAGAGAAGAACGUUGGUGAGAGUGGAAAGCUCAUCAAGUGACGGUAACUACCCAGAAAGGGACGGCUAACUACGUG
rnacentral:rRNA from 1 species